rnacentral:rRNA from 1 species
ACGUAGGUGGCAAGCGUUGUCCGGAAUUACUGGGUGUAAAGGGAGCGCAGGCGGGUUUGCAAGUUGGAAGUGAAAACUAUGGGCUCAACCCAUAAACUGCUUUCAAAACUGCGGAUCUUGAGUGGUGCAGAGGUAGGCGGAAUUCCCGGUGUAGCGGUGGAAUGCGUAGAUAUCGGGAGGAACACCAGUGGCGAAGGCGGCCUACUGGGCACUAACUGACGCUGAGGCUCGAAAGCAUGGGUAGCAAACAGG